UACGAGGGGGGCGAGCGUUGUUCGGAAUUAUUGGGCGUAAAGGGUGCGUAGGCGGUUUGGUAAGUCUGAUGUGAAAUCUAUGGGCUCAACUCAUAGUCUGCAUCGGAAACUGCCGGGCUUGAGUGUGGGAGAGGUGAGUGGAAUUCCUGGUGUAGCGGUGAAAUGCGCAGAUAUCAGGAGGAACACCGGUGGCGAAGGCGGGUCUCUGGGCAUUAACUGACGCUGAGGAGCGAAAGCAUGGGGAGCGAACAGG
rnacentral:rRNA from 1 species